AAGUCGUAACAAGGUCUCCGUAGGUGAACCUGCGGAGGGAUCCUCACAUAGCAAACGCUUUGUAUACCAAUACUCACUCAACGCGAACUGUAACGUCCCUAUCUAUUGGUGGAUCGUAAGUGCUUGCACUUGCGUGAAGUCAAUAUGAUAGACAAUACCCCCCAGAGUACAUCUUAUUAAAUUCGUUUGAUAAGUGGACUCGUUUUUAUUCACCACUUUUUACCUAUAAUGAAUGAAUUGUCUUAUCUUUAACUUCAUCUAUAGCAAAUUUCAUACUGAUACUUUUGUAUCUUUGUGGUUUUUGUUUUGUUUGAAUUUACGAAAUAAUGAACAACUCUUAGUAAUGGAUAUCUUGGGUCAA
rnacentral:misc_RNA from 1 species